GUCCUGCCUCUCUGCUCCCAGCUGUUAAGAGGCCAGUGUUGAUCAGUGGCUGUCCAGGCCUUUCAGAGCCACUGACACGCCGGCAGCACAAUCAUCAUGUCUCUGACUCUACUGCUGGCCACCCUGGGGCUCCUUGUUCAGGGUUCAUCAGGAGACAUCAUCCUGACUCAGUCUCCUGGAUCUCAGUCUGUUGUUCUGGGACAGACUGUCUCUAUCAGAUGUAAAGCCAGUACAAGUGUUUAUAGCAACCUCCACUGGUACCUUCAGAAACCUGGAGAAGCUCCUAAACUCCUGAUUUAUGCAGCUACAUCCCGUGAGUCUGGAGUUCCAGAUCGUUUCAGUGGAAGUGGAUCUGGGACUGACUACACUCUGACCAUCAGUAGAGUUCAGGCUGAAGAUUCAGGAGAUUAUUACUGUCAGAGUUGGCACUAUAUCAACAGUCAGUGGGUGUGCACACAGUGAAAAAGCAUCGUACAAAAACCUCCCUCAGUCAGACUGAACAGAAACUGAAGUGACUGCUGCAGCUGGA